rnacentral:ncRNA from 1 species
CGCCGUGAGACGGAGUCUGAAGGAAGCCUAAGACAAAAUACCGAACCGAUGUACAAGAAGUGGCUACAAGGCUGAUUAGACUGGAUGAAGUUGCUUCACAAACUGAAGUCCUACACUACUUGAAGUCGAAGUUAGUAAAGCCAACGGUUGCAUGGUAUGAAAGCUAU